UCCCACUUCUGCUACAUGUCGACAUGCGGCUGUACUUACACAUCUGGAAAGACAGGCCCUCGGGGAAGGAGGCACGGGUCUGUGGAAAAAGAUAAGGGAGGGAAGAGGUGCUGAAAGGAGGAGCUCUGAUGAGAGCUCCACCCUCAGGAGCAGAAAAGCAGCCAUCAACCCAUCUGGGUACUGGAUAAGGAUAAAGUUGGACACAAAUGUAAGGUUUUUGGAGACUUCAUAACUCCUUCAUGUUGUUAAUUUUUGUAUCCCUUUCUGUUUCCCCAUGGUGACCCCAACAAAGCCCUUAAAACCAAAGGGUCCUGUGUACUUAUUUUGAUACACAGCAAUAUAAGGAUAUAUCCCAAUCCACAUCCACUCUUGGAGAAAAUGAGAACCAAGAAAUAUACUAACAGCUCAGAAAAGAAAAGAAACCAAACUGAAUGUAUCAGAUCUAUGGAAAGGAGAAAAGAGGUUCAAGGGGUUGGGUCAUAGAGAGUCUAACUGGGAAAAGAGCCAUUGAGUCACCAACAACCCUCCUCCUCCCAGUGCUGUCCUCCUCGAGUGGUCUAUGUUUUCAAAUGUCCUUUCCUUCCUAUCCUUAAUUCAAAUUCCCAUGUGGGCAAAAGAGGAGGAGGGAGUUACUGGACCACCAUGGAAAAAUCAAGGAAAGAUAUUCAGAAGAGGCGGCCACAUAUGAGCUUCUUAAUUUGGCAUCAUCUCUAACAGAAUUCUUGUAUGACUGUACUCUUCUGGGUCAGCAUCCAUGGGCUCUCCAGGGAAAAACACCAUUUUUUCAAGAGGAAUAGCUACUGUUCUAUUUAGUGCUUGGAAGGAGAAGGUAAGGCAGAGCCAUUCCCAAGAGAAAUAUCUAGUGGAAGAAUUUCUUAGUGUCUCCUAGUUGUACCUUAGAACCCAUGAUUUCUUUGCAUUUAUUCCUGAAUGUGAUUAUAUUAGCUAGACACAAAUGGCAAAUAUUUCAUGUUAAUGACUAUAAUUUGUGUUCCUUUUACCUUGCCAAGGCAAGCGUCUGUAGCUUGUCCUUUCAUUCUGUUAAUUAUUCAGCAUUAAUGAAAAGCAUCUGUGUAAUACUUUUUUACCAAUACUGGAUUUCUUAUGUCACUUUUACACAUUAUUGGACCUUCAAUCAGCCCUUUAGAAGCAGGAGAUCCUCUUCACAGGAUCUCUAAUUCCAUCUCCAGACCUGAGUUUUCUUUUGAUCUAACCACACAUGUUCCUUCCCAUCUUCUAGGGUGCCCUGUCAUAUACACAGGGAAUCUUGAGUAGCACUCUGGCUGUACCCCAUUUCCUGUCCUAGCUCCUCCUUUUCCUGUUCCUAGAAGGGCUAAAAGGAACUAUGAGAGUAUGGCCUGCCCGUGAGGUUAGGGCGUAUGGAGUUCUUGUUGUGAAGGUGGCCUCUGCAGUCUGACAGCCUGCAUUAGAAUCCUUGCCUCCUUGACUAAUAAUAUUACCUUGAGCAAAUGUCUCAAUUCCCAAAGCUUAUAAAAUGGAAAUCACAAAAUGGCCAGCUAACAGACUUGACUAAUGCUCAAAUAACAACUGAUACAAUAAUCCCUAGCUGGGUAUCUCAUUUACACAGCAGAGAACUCACAGUCCUAAUCUUGAGUGGUCAUUUUAUCUUAGUGGGCAGAGAACACUUCCAGCCAGCCCAGAAUUUGUGCAACACCUAAUUAUUAAGGCCAGAUAGUGCCAACCAACCAGAGACACUCCAAGACUUUGUUUUCUUAAUAUAGAAUAAAGCUGGUUUGUGGUUUUAGCUUUAAACAGUUGGGAGUUUCUGCUGUGGCGCAGCAGAAAUGAAUCUGACUAGGAAACAUGAGGCUGUGAGUACAAACCCUGGCCUCGCUCACGGCAUUGUCGUGAGCUGGGGUGUAAGUGGAAGACACGGCUCAGAUCCUGAAUUGCUGUGUCUGUGGUAUAGGCUGGCAGCUGCAGCUCCAAUUGGACUUAGCCUGGGAACCUUUAUAUGCUGUGGGUGCAGCCCUAAAAAGCACACACACACACAAAGACAUGAUAGUCAGCCCCAAGAUGGUGCCCCCAAGGUUCCACACCUCCAGGUAUUCAUGCCCCUGUGUAAUUCUUUCCUACACUGCAUCAGAGUUGGUCUAUGUGAUGAACUGAUAGCAGAAGUGAUGGAAUGUCUUUUCUGAGGCUGGGUUAUAAAAAACAUUGUGGCUUCUGCCUUGCUAUCUCUUAACUCAGUCUUUCUGGAGGAUGCCAGCUGCCAUAGCUUGGGGCAGCCUUGUGAAGAGACUGGUGAAGCAAGAAACUAUAGCUUUUUUUUUUCUUUUCCUUUUUUGGCUGCACCCAUGGCAUACAGAAGUUCCCAGGCCAGGGACUGAAUCCAAGCCACAUUUGUAACCAAUGCCACAGCUGCAGCAAUAUCAGAUCCUUAACCAACUGUGUAGGGCCAGGGAUUGAACCCACAUCCUUACAGACACUAUGUUAGGUUUUUAACCCACUGAGCCACAAUGGGAACUCCCUAAAUGUUUGUUGUUUUAAGCUGCCAAGUUUAAGGCAACUUUGGAAGGUAAACAGCAAUACAUGACUAAUUCCAAACACUUUCUCUCUCUCAAACCUCAGCCCUAGGGUCAAAAUUCUGCACUAUAUUCCUGCCCAGCAGUAAUUACAGAAAUGUCCACUAAGAGCUUACUCUGUGGUAAUCAUAGUUCCUAUCUCAUAAGGUUGGGAGGAUUGAGCAGGAUAAUACAUGCAAAGAACUUACUGUGAACCUAGCACAUGGUAAGCACUUAGCCAAUGCUAGUUAUCCCUAUAAUACAGAAACAUAGGGUAAUUGCUCUAGAUCUUGGUGUCUGGGAGGCUUAGGAAAUAGAAUAAUGAGUGAAGAUUUAGAGUUAAGGGUGCAGGGAAGGAACCCCCGAGGUACCUUUUCUCAAUCCUAGCAGCUUUUAGGGAUCACUCUUCUAAUUGCUGCAGCCAGGGUUCCUCCAGUGAGACAGGAGGGACAAGCCAGAGGAGGAACAUUCUUUUUUGUUGGCCUCUAAAAUGACUAAAGUGAUAUGUUAAAAUGUAGAAAAAGUUUACUAAGUGGAAAAAGAGACAGAAAAUAGGAAUAUAGAAUGGUGGAGUUAUCUUUUUCUGCUUCUUAAUUUUGCCUGGGUACUACCUAGUUUAUUUUUAGUUUCCACUGGGCCAAGUAGAAGCUCCGCUCAGAAAUAUGCCUGAUUUCACAUAACUAUGCACUCUGCAACUUAGAACAAAACAUAGUCUAUUGUGUAGUAUCUGCUCAUGCCCCAGGCUAUCUCUGGUAUGAGCUGCACAGAAAUGUGAUAGGCUCUGGAGUUGCACGCCAGGAGGCUUAUCACUGGGCCAUUUGUUCUCAGGGGAGACACACCGGAAGGGAAAGACAGUUUUUGAAAGGCGAAGAACAAAGUGAAGAAUGUGAAGAACACAGUGAAAGUUUGUCAAUCAAUGUGUCAAACCAAAGUGAUUAUACAGAAAAGAAAGCAAGAACAAUUAAGAGCCAAGAGUAGUCAGCGUCAGACUAAAACAAAAUUGGUCAGUUGGAGCAAUCUUGGAACUAAUUCUAUGACUAUGGUUCAUACACUGAAUCAUUAUCCUUAAAUAAACUAGAGUAUAAGCGUCACAAUUUUGUGUUUCAAUCACUAUGGUGUUCCCAGUGCCUACAACAGAGCUCAGCACAUACUAGGAGCUUGAUAAAUAUUUGUAAAAUCAAUGAAUGAAUGUGUCUCAACAUAGCUCAAGAAGUAGGAGUAAAUACAGAUAGACUUAUUUAAGUAUGCACGCAGACAUUUCUCAAGUUAAACACUUUUGAUUGACAUGGUUUUUAGCUGAUCUCCCUUAGAAAUCAGUAGUCAAUGUGCAUUAUAAAUCAUAUAAAUUAGAAAUCUCCAUUAUAAAUCAGUCAAUGUGCAUUAUGGCUCUUACUAAACUUCAAAAUCAUCCUGUCCCCAAACCUUGAGCUCCACUCACUUGUUAGACAAAUUAGAAAGAAUAUACUAGCUUUGUGGGCUGUGGAAAUAGGCAAGCUGGCUGUUUCAAAUAUAUGAGAUAAUAGCUUGAGUUCAAAAGUCAGCAGCAACAUACUAACAUAGAAUUGUCCUAUACUCAGUUCAAGGGUUGUAAGCUAUCAUAUCUUUUAGGGGUAGAACUAUGCUCCCUGCCCCAGUGAUUUACCGUUAGAGAAACUGCUUUGAUAAGACCAACUGUUUAAUCAGCCUAAGGCUCUACAGGGUCACUGCAUAACUAUCAUUCCAUCUGUAAGAAUAAAAAAUAAACCUAAGGAAUUUCCAUAUUUUUUGUUACUUCUGGUAUGAAAAAGAGACACAAACUGUGCUUGUUUGACUAGAAUCCUUUAGUUCUUCAGGACUUUGAAUUGUUUCAAAAGCCUCCUGAGAGGUAAACAAACCUCUCUGCACAAGAGAUACUGCAGCAUAAAGUUCAGGUCAGAGUACACAUAGGAAAGACUCCACGGUUACCCACAAGUUUCACUGACUGUCCACAGCCAGCUUGGCUUCAGCUUCCUCAGAGCGAAACUUGGGAACAGUACAGUCAUCUGGAGCCAUUCUGUGCCGAAUGACAACCAUCUGUUUCCCAUGUGCCCUUUCUACUUGCAAUCACCUACAUGAAAACCCAUUAAUUCAUAUUUCUUCAAAGACACUCAGCCCCAUCUUGGAGCAGUAACACCUCUGACAGCAAUUCUUUGGGUAUUAAGAAUGGAUUACCUAGAGCAAACCUCAGAAGUGUUUAGAUUGUCCAUGCAUUUCGACAAGAAAAAUAUUCCUAGUUCCUUUUUUGAAGACUUUUAUCUUCCCAUCUCAGAAAAUCAGAUUACUCAAAUGAUGUAUAAAGAAUGGGUGAACAAUUAUUUACAUGAGCCCUAGCUUAUGGCACUAAGUUUUGUUUGUUUGUUUGUCGAUUUAGGGCCACUCCAACGGCAUAUGGAGGUUCCCAGGCUAAGGGUCAAAUUGGAGCUGUAGCCGCUGGCCUACGCCACAGCCACAGCAAUGCCUGAUUCAAGAUGGGAAUGUGACCUACAACAUAGCUCACAGCAACACCAGAUCCUUAACCCACUGAGCAAGGCCAGGGAUUGAACCCGUGUCAUCAUGGAUACUAGUUGGGUUCGUUAACCACUGAGCUACAAUGGGAACUCCUAAGGCAUUAAGUUUUAACCAUGGCGAUAACUGGUUUAAAAGGAUGCAUGAUUUGUUACAAUCUUAUUAUGUAUAUUCAUAACAGGUUUCCUUAUGUUCAUAGAUAAUCCACUCUCUAAGGAUUAGAGAUCUGGAAGUGGCAGAUAAACAAACUGAAUUCAUUCAUUCCAUAAGUAUUACUGCACUCACUAUGUGUUGGCCUGGUAGUAGCCUGGGAUGUGGGGGUGAUUUUAUAUUUACUGAAGUUAGACCUUGUGACUUUUUCACUUAUUUCCUCCUUCAGAAAGUACUUGUAUCUAUGCAUCUAUCAGUUAAUUAUUUUUAUCUUGAGCAUUGCACCAAUUUGCACUGUAAUUAUCUUUUCAGGGCAGAGUUUCAUUGUGUUUAUGCUAUAUGCAUUAUACAUCUUGGGCAGUUGGCCUGGGGCAAAUGUAUUCAGUUCACUUUUCAGUCCAAAAUGAUUUUAUAAAAACAAAUAAAGCCAGGAAAACACCUAUGUUGAGAAUCAAUAUUACCAUUGUCCUAGUACUAUAAAAUUUUUGCCACUUUAAUGCAACUGAUGAAAUAAAUAGCAAUGGUUAAGAAGUAGAAGCCUGGUAAUUGCUU
rnacentral:lncRNA from 1 species